AUUGAACGCUGGCGGAAUGCUUUACACAUGCAAGUCGAACGGCAGCACGGGGGCAACCCUGGUGGCGAGUGGCGAACGGGUGAGUAAUACAUCGGAACGUGCCCAGUCGUGGGGGAUAACGUAGCGAAAGUUACGCUAAUACCGCAUACGAUCUACGGAUGAAAGCGGGGGACCGUAAGGCCUCGCGCGAUUGGAGCGGCCGAUGUCAGAUUAGGUAGUUGGUGAGGUAAAGGCUCACCAAGCCGACGAUCUGUAGCUGGUCUGAGAGGACGAACAACCAAACUGGGACUGAGACACGGCCCGGACUCCUACGGGAGGAAGCAGUGGGGAAUUUUGGACAAUGGGCGCAAGCCUGAUCCAGCCAUUCCGCGUGCAGGACGAAGGCCUUCGGGUUGUAAACUGCUUUUGUACGGAACGAAAAGGCUCUGGUUAAUACCUGGGGCUCAUGACGGUACCGUAAGAAUAAGCACCGGCUAACUACGUGCCAGCCGCCGCUGUAA
rnacentral:rRNA from 1 species